rnacentral:rRNA from 1 species
GUCUACGGCCAUGCCACCCUGAAAAAGCUCGAUGUCUGAUCUCGGAAGCUAAACAGGGUCAGGCCUGGUUAGUACUUGGAUGGGAGACCACCUAGGAAUACCAGGUACUGUAGGCA